AACGAACGCUGGCGGCAGGCUUGACACAUGCAAGUCGAACGCCCCGCAAGGGGAGUGGCAGACGGGUGAGUAACGCGUGGGAAUCUACCGUACCCUACGGAACAACAGAUGGAAACGACUGCUAAUACCGUAUACGCCCUACGGGGGAAAGAUUUAUCGGGGUAUGAUGAGCCCGCGUUGGAUUAGCUAGUUGGUGGGGUAAAGGCCUACCAAGGCGACGAUCCAUAGCUGGUCUGAGAGGAUGAUCAGCCACAUUGGGACUGAGACACGGCCCAAACUCCUACGGGAGGCAGCAGUGGGGAAUAUAGGACAAUGGGCGCAAGCCUGAUCCAGCCAUGCCGCGUGAGUGAUGAAGGUCUUAGGAUUGUAAAGCUCUUUCACCGAUGAAGAUAAUGACGGUAGUCGGAGAAGAAGCCCCGGCUAACUUCGUGCCAGCCGCCGCGGUAACAC
rnacentral:rRNA from 1 species